GACGAACGCUGGCGGCGUGCUUAACACAUGCAAGUCGAACGGAAAGGCCCUGCUUUUGUGGGGUGCUCGAGUGGCGAACGGGUGAGUAACACGUGAGUAACCUGCCCUUGACUUUGGGAUAACUUCAGGAAACUGGGGCUAAUACCGGAUAGGAGCUCCUGCUGCAUGGUGGGGGUUGGAAAGUUUCGGCGGUUGGGGAUGGACUCGCGGCUUAUCAGCUUGUUGGUGGGGUAGGGGCCUACCAAGGCGUUGACGGGUAGCCGGCCUGAGAGGGUGACCGGCCACAUUGGGACUGAGAUACGGCCCAGAGUCCUACGGGAGGCAGCAGUGGGGAAUAUUGCACAAUGGGCGGAAGCCUGAUGCAGCAACGCCGCGUGCGGGAUGACGGCCUUCGGGUUGUAAACCGCUUUCGCCUGUGACGAAGCGGGAGUGACGGUAAUGAGUAAAGAAGCACCGGCUAACUACGUG
rnacentral:rRNA from 1 species